UACGUAGGGGGCAAGCGUUGUUCGGAUUUAUUGGGCGUAAAGAGCGUGUAGGCGGCUUUACAGGUCCGUUGUGAAAACUCGAGGCUCAACCUCGAGACGCCGGUGGAAACCGUAAAGCUAGAGUCCGGAAGAGGAGAGUGGAAUUCCUGGUGUAGCGGUGAAAUGCGCAGAUAUCAGGAGGAACACCCGUGGCGAAGGCGGCUUUCUGGACACUUACUGACGCUGAGACGCGAAAGCGUGGGGAGCAAACAGG
rnacentral:rRNA from 1 species